UUUCCAUGCCCUGCCCAAGUUAACCCUAACCCCAGUCAGCCUAUAAAAUCCAAGUAAAGCCUUCUUUGCCGCUGAAGCUGAUAGUGUUAAUCUAACACCAGUUGAGUGGAGUUGGGUAUAAAAAUUCUUUCAGGUUUAGGCAUGUUAGCAGGAGUAAGGUGACAGAUUACUCUUUUCAGUUGUAUUUUCACUGGUGGAUGCCUCUGCUAGAGUGAAGAUGAAUUAUCUUUAUGUAGUUGCCCUCUUUUUGGACCAUUUGAAACUUAUGUUAAAUUGUUUGGUAGUAGACAAAAAAGGGUAAAAGAGAAACAACAAGAAAUGAGAAGAUAGUAAAGAGAAAUAGAUAAGAAAUUAUUUGAUUAUGCAAGAAAAACAGUGGAGUAGGAGGAGAAGAGAGAGAGGAGUUGAGGAGAAUUGAUUGAGAUUCAAUUGAUUAGCAUAAUUUUUUGACAGGGUUUGAGGUAUGAAAUAAAUACACAUAUAUUUUUGUUAUGAA